AUUGAACGCUGGCGGCAGGCCUAACACAUGCAAGUCGAGCGGAUGAAGGGAGCUCGCUCCUGGAUUCAGCGGCGGACGGGUGAGUAAUGACUAGGGAUCUGCCUGGGAGUGGGGGACCACGUUUCGAAAGGAACGCUAAUACCACAUACGCCCUACGGGAGAAACAAGGGGACCUUCGGGGCUUGCGCUAUCAGAUGACCCUAGGUCGGAUUAGCUAGUUGGUGAGGUAAUGGCUCACCAAGGCGACGAUCCGUAGCUGGUCUGAGAGGAUGAUCAGUCACACUGGGACUGAGACACGGUCCAGACUCCUACGGGAGGCAGCAGUGGGGAAUAUUGGACAAUGGGCGAAAGCCUGAUCCAGCCAUGCCGCGUGUGUGAAGAAGGUCUUCGGAUUGUAAAGCACUUUAAGUUGGGAGGAAGGGUUGUAGAUGAAUACGCUGCAAUUUUGACGUUACCGACAGAAUAAGCACCGGCUAACUCUGUGCCAGCAGCCGCCGUAAUAC
rnacentral:rRNA from 1 species